UGGGGAAUUUUGCACAAUGGGGGAAACCCUGAUGCAGCGACGCCGCGUGAUUUAGAAGGCCUUCGGGUUGUAAAAAUCUUUUCUAUGGGAAGAAAAUGACAGUACCAUAGGAAUAAGGACCGGCUAAUUACGUGCCAGCAGCCGCGGUAAUACGUAAGGUCCGAGCGUUGUCCGGAAUCAUUGGGCGUAAAGGGUACGUAGGCGGGUAAGCAAGUUAGAAGUGAAAUCCUGUAGCUCAACUACAGUAAGCUUUUAAAACUGCUCAUCUUGAGAUAUGGAAGGGAAAGUGGAAUUCCUAGUGUAGCGGUGAAAUGCGCAGAUAUUAGGAGGAAUACCGGUGGCGAAGGCGACUUACUGGGCUCAUUCUGACGCUGAGGAACGAAAGCGUGGGUAGCAAACAGG
rnacentral:rRNA from 1 species